rnacentral:rRNA from 1 species
UACAGAGGGUGCAAGCGUUAAUCGGAUUUACUGGGCGUAAAGGGCGCGUAGGUGGUUGUUUAAGUGAGAUGUGAAAGCCCCGGGCUCAACCUGGGAACUGCAUCUUAUACUGGGCAACUGGAGUACAUGAGAGGGUAGUGGAAUUUCCGGUGUAGCGGUGAAAUGCGUAGAUAUCGGAAGGAACACCAGUGGCGAAGGCGGCUCACUGGCCCGGUACUGACGCUGAGGUGCGAAAGCGUGGGGAGCAAACAGG